GGCCUAACACAUGCAAGUCGAGCGGUAACAUUUCAAAAGCUUGCUUUUGAAGAUGACGAGCGGCGGACGGGUGAGUAAUGCCUAGGGAACUGCCCAGUCGAGGGGGAUAACAGUUGGAAACGACUGCUAAUACCGCAUACGCCCUACGGGGGAAAGAAGGGGACCUUCGGGCCUUUCGCGAUUGGAUGUACCUAGGUGGGAUUAGCUAGUAGGUGAGGUAAUGGCUCACCUAGGCGACGAUCCCUAGCUGUUCUGAGAGGAUGAUCAGCCACACUGGGACUGAGACACGGCCCAGACUCCUACGGGAGGCAGCAGUGGGGAAUAUUGCACAAUGGGCGCAAGCCUGAUGCAGCCAUGCCGCGUGUGUGAAGAAGGCCUUCGGGUUGUAAAGCACUUUCAGCGAGGAGGAAAGGUUAACGGUUAAUACCCGUUAGCUGUGACGUUACUCGCAGAAGAAGCACCGGCUAACUUCGUGCCAGCAGCCGCGGUAAUACGAGG
rnacentral:rRNA from 1 species